GCUCCUGACGGCCGGGUGGUUCGAUCCGUUUCUGCCGGGUCAGCUCGCCGACUUCGUUCGGAUCCGGCGCGAGGGCC
rnacentral:tRNA from 1 species